rnacentral:snoRNA from 1 species
GCCCAUGAUGUUGCUCCGUUUUGUGGAUGUAGUUGGCUCCAAUUCCCUGUUUUGCAGGGAGAAUCUGUUUGGUGCUGUUACUCCAUAUCCCCGGAGUGGC